CCUGGUUGAUCCUGCCAGUAGUCAUAUGCUUGUCUCAAAGAUUAAGCCAUGCAUGUCCCAGUUCAGGCCUUAAUACGGUGAGACCGCGAAUGGCUCAUUAAAUCAGCUAUGGUUUAUUGGAUCGUGCCCGUUAGAUGGAUAACUGUAAUAACUCUAGAGCUAAUACAUGCCUCGAUGCCCUGACCCUGCCUGGCUUGCCUUGCUUGCAUGUGGUAGGCUAUGGGUGCACUUAUUAGAUCAGAAGCCAACCAAUUGUGCUUGUACGGCCGGCCGCAAGGUCGUCGUUGCGUGCGUUGAGACACUCGCUUCUGGUGACUCUGGCUAAUUGCUACAGAUCGCAGUCGGCAUUGAGUCGGCGACAGGUCCUUCAAAUAUCUGCCCUAUCAACCUUAGAUGGUAGAUGACCUGCCUACCAUGGUGGUAACGGGUAACGGGGAGUCAGGGUUCGAUUCAGGAGAGGGAGCCUGAGAAACGGCUACCACUUCUAAGGGAGGCCGCAGGCGCGCAAACUACCCACUGCCAGCACGGGGAGGUGGUGACGAAAAAUACCGAUGCGGGACUCCUUCAAGAGGCUCCGUAAUCGGAAUGAGUGGACUCUAAACCCCUUCACGAGGAUCAAUUGGAGGGCAAGUCUGGUGCCAGCAGCCGCGGUAACUCCAGCUCCAAUAGCGUAUAUUAAAGUUGCUGCAGUUAAAAAGCUCGUAGUUGGAUCUCGGUAGCAUUGUUGCCUGUUGGUGAUUGAGCGGCCGGUGUGUGGUUAUCAGUGCGCAGUUUCCUCGGCUCCUGCGUGUUGGUGGGCCGGUGGGUAGUUCGGUUGGUGGGUUGGGCAAUUGGUGCUCACUUGUCGUCUGGUCUGCUUGGUGGCUCGCUCAUUUACUUGCAGCGGCGUUUGGGGGCGCUGUGUGAUCGUGGCCAUGAGCAAGCACUCCAGCCUGCUUAUUAGUGCGUUCGUCCACUGCGCCUGCAUGGGUGACGUUGGAUGAUACCGCCUAUCACGGGUGUGCAGCUUGCGCUCUUCUCUCCUCUCCUCUUGCACUUCUUCGUGAGGGUGAGGGGUGGGGAGUGGGGGUGAGGGUGCAAGUUGACGCUCGUGGUUGGUUAGUCUGGCGUUGGUGUGCGGGUGGGGCG
rnacentral:rRNA from 1 species